GACGAACGCUGGCGGCGUGCUUAACACAUGCAAGUCGAACGGAGAUUAUUAAUGAAGCUUGCGAUUUAAUAAUCUUAGUGGCGGACGGGUGAGUAACGCGUGGGCAACCUACCCAUAAGAGGGGGAUAACAGCUGGAAACGGCUGCUAAUACCGCAUAAACUUUUUAAGACACAUGUUUUAAAAAGGAAAGGUGGCGCAAGCUAUCGCUUAUGGAUGGGCCCGCGUCUGAUUAGCUAGUUGGUGGGUAACGGCCUACCAAGGCAACGAUCAGUAGCCGGCCUGAGAGGGUGGACGGCCACACUGGGACUGAGACACGGCCCAGACUCCUACGGGAGGCAGCAGUGGGGAAUAUUGCGCAAUGGGGGAAACCCUGACGCAGCGACGCCGCGUGAGCGAAGAAGGCCUUAGGGUUGUAAAGCUCUGUCUGGAGGGACGAAGGAAGUGACGGUACCUCCGGAGGAAGCCACGGCUAACACGUGCCAGCAGCCGCGGAAAAAUCACGUGUA
rnacentral:rRNA from 1 species